AAUGUUUUCUAAGGUCUGGGCCCCAUUUGGAGAUUUCUGAGGCUGCUUUCAGGCACUGCAUUCAGGCACUGGUGAGAUGCUAGGUCACAGUACUGGAAGGAUGCUUUGGAAGUGUCCAGCUACAGGCCAACAAGUAGGCCAGGUUCGUCAUUGCACAUCUCCAAGUUCAAAAUGAAGGUCAGACUGGAAAGGUGAGAAACAUAAGAGUUCUACAGCACAUACUCCAAAAAACCCCCAAGGUUAUAGCUCUGAGCUCUCCUCCUGAGUAUCAUUCUGAUCCACAGCUUGCAGAGAUGUCAGCUUUGUAGUACAAGCAGGAAGAGACAGCAUAGCAACAAA
rnacentral:lncRNA from 1 species